rfam:Otolemur garnettii contig159084, whole genome shotgun sequence.
GCCUAGAGUUCCAGCUACUCGGGAGGCUGAGACAGGAGGAUCACUUGAGUCCAGGAGUUCUGGGCUGCAGUGCGCUAUGCCAGUCAGGAGUGCACACUAAGUUCGGCAUCAAUAUGGUGACCUCCCGGGAGCAGGAGAGCUGCCAGUUGCCUAAGAAGGGAUCAACUAGCCCAGGUCAGAAACGGAGCAGGUCAAAACUGCUGUGCUGAUUAGUAGUGAGAGUGAGACCCUGCCUGUGAAUAGCCACUGCACUCCAGCCCAGGCAACAUAGCGAGACCCCAUCUCUA